CUGAGAAAGAAUUUUGAACGUGGCUUGCAUCACUUCUAAAUAUAAGUACUUGUAACUGAAAAGUAUGAUGCUAUGUGUUCUUCAGUCUUCCACAUGCUGAUCACUUACUGCUGUGGAACAGGUUCCUCUAUGGGGUCCUGCUCUUGAGAGCUGAGGAGAAGAGGCAGGAGUUAAGAAACAGCCAAUGGUCUCAGAUUUUUGCAACCAGAAAUUCAGGUAGAAGAAAUAAAAACUUUGAGAUAAGAACAAACUUUUAUAAUAAUUUUGUGAAGAAAAAAAAGAUGAUGAUGAAGAGCAAGAGGAAGAAGAGGGAGAAGCAGGAGGAGAAGAAGAAGAGAAAGAAGAAAAAGGAGGAGAAGGAGAAGGAGAAGGAGAAGGAGAAGAAGACGACGACAACGAUGACUUCCAUGGAUCCCUGAUCUCCUUUAUUGGAGAUACAACUGGUGGAAGGUGAUGGAGACAGACUGAUUGGUUUCUUGAUUGAGUGGUUUUCAACUGUGACUCCAGCCGAGGAUCACAAGCUAAGCCUGAAGCGUUACUCCAUCAGCUGCAGUGAGCAGAGUGUGGCUCUCCAGAGAUGGAAAACCUUCAAAGAUCAUCAUCAUCAAAGGACCCUGCUUGAAUCUACAGCCAUUCACAGCCUGCACCCUGCUAUUCUGUGAGCUUUCUGAGUGGCUCCUGACACUAGAAAAUCAUCAAUGAAUAUACAUCUCAAGGAAACAACCAUAAAGGACAUGUUACAGAAUGCAGAAUUUGGGGCUUCUGCCCUUUGUGAUCAUCAACAUUUUCAUUUCCCUUACACACAUACUGAAUAUUAUAUUAUAUAAAAUGCUAUGCUUUCUAAGAAGCAGUCUGUAAGAGAGGCACGGGACUAAGUGUCACUCUCUUUUAAAGAUUAAGCUGAGAUUUAAAGACGACAACCUUCUUGCCCCUUGUUACAGGAAAAAUAAAUAAUGGAGAAGGGACUGGAUCCCAGUUGUGUUUUUCUAAAAUUCCAAGUUCAGUGUCCUCUAACUACACAACACUGAAGAAGUACCAUGCAGCAGGACAAAUGUAAGGAUAACUAUCCCACUCAUCUAUUUUUAACUAAUCUUACUUGCCUUCCUUCCCUCAAGCAGCUGUGUGGCAGUGUUUACUUAACUACUCCUUCAUGAUAAGUAACUUUUAUCCUAAGUUUCCUGGGGGAUAUAAAUUUUUCUGUUUAGCUUUCUAGUAGUUACUCAAAAGAAGGUCAUUUAUAUACUUAUAUAUAUUGCUCUGAGCUAUAUUUUCAAAAUUAUGGGCUCUCCCCUCCUGAUGCAGGGAUAGCAUAGAAACAUAUCCUUGCAGUCUCCUCUACUCCUAAAAUCCUAAGAUGUGAUUUUUUAAAAAAUUGACUGUGUAUUUUGCAGUAGCAAAAUUUUAUGAGCAGGGCAUAUUUGUGACCUGACUAAAUUAUCACUGGUAUUUGCUAGAUGAUUUUAGGCAUUAUCUAAUGUACUACUUGAAAUAUCCAUUUGCAGGUAGAUACCAUUAUUGUAUUUUAUUGGUGGUAAUGCACACUCUGCUAUCUAAGUAAUGUUUUAGUUCACCUGGUCAAUAAAUGUGCUGAAGUUUGAACAUUCUGCCUGGUUUCAUGGCCCAUCCAUAUAGCUCUACAUUGCCCCACAGAAAUUUGAUAUUCAUCAGAGAACAAUUUUAU
ensembl:lincRNA